UAAUCCGGAUUGAGCGUGCCGCAUGGUCGACGUUUGGAAAGAAUUUCGGUCCAGGGAUGACUCGCGGCCUAUCAGCUUGUUGGUGAGGUAAUGGCUCACCAAGGCGUCGACGGGUAGCCGGCCUGAGAGGGUGACCGGCCACACUGGGACUGAGACACGGCCCAGACUCCUACGGGAGGCAGCAGUGGGGAAUAUUGCACAAUGGGCGAAAGCCUGAUGCAGCAACGCCGCGUGAGGGACGACGGCCUUCGGGUUGUAAACCUCUUUUAGCAGGGAAGAAGCGAAAGUGACGGUACCUGCAGAAAAAGCGCCGGCUAACUACGUGCCAGCAGCCGCGGUAAUACGUAGGGCGCAAGCGUUAUCCGGAAUUAUUGGGCGUAAAGAGCUCGUAGGCGGUUUGUCGCGUCUGCUGUGAAAACUGGAGGCUCAACCUCCAGCCUGCAGUGGGUACGGGCAGACUAGAGUGCGGUAGGGGAGAUUGGAAUUCCUGGUGUAGCGGUGGAAUGCGCAGAUAUCAGGAGGAACACCGAUGGCGAAGGCAGAUCUCUGGGCCGUAACUGACGCUGAGGAGCGAAAGGGUGGGGAGCAAACAGGCUUAGAUACCCUGGUAGUCCACCCCGUAAACGUUGGGAACUAGUUGUGGGGUCCAUUCCACGGAUUCCGUGACGCAGCUAACGCAUUAAGUUCCCCGCCUGGGGAGUACGGCCGCAAGGCUAAAACUCAAAGGAAUUGACGGGGACCCGCACAAGCGGCGGAGCAUGCGGAUUAAUUCGAUGCAACGCGAAGAACCUUACCAAGGCUUGACAUAUACGAGAACGGGCUAGAAAUAGUCAACUCUUUGGACACUCGUAAACAGGUGGUGCAUGGUUGUCGUCAGCUCGUGUCGUGAGAUGUUGGGUUAAGUCCCGCAACGAGCGCAACCCUCGUUCUAUGUUGCCAGCACGU
rnacentral:rRNA from 1 species